GAGGAUUUAGCUCAGUGGUAAAGCAAAUGCUUGGCAUACAGAAGUGCCCAGUUCAAUCCCUGGACCCCCCA